CUGCAAGCGCGAGGAGUGGGGAAUCUUGGUGGCGCGAGGUGGAGAAAAAAUAGAAUUAAAAAGAAGGAACGGUAUCGAAACGUAAAUCAGGCGGCAAUUAAAAUUAGCGAGGGGUUCGCGUUAAACGGACGGUUACAUUUAUCCAUCCACGGCUCUUUGAUGAGUUUUCCCGAGAACGCGUCAGUUACUUCGAAGCUCUGUCGGUUUUUCGGCAUUCACAGCUCAAGUUGUGUUUAACGGUGAUCGAAAAGAAUUGGAAAUCGAAGAGCCUAAAUAAGAAUGUGACUGAUGGCGUUAUUCGUCUAAAGCUGGAUUAAUGUAGGCUACGAUAGAUGGUAAAUCACUUCAAAUACUUUUCUCUUUCUCUCCCCUAUUGAACAACUGGUGGCAAUGUUUGACACGAAAUCCAUAAUCUAUAGGUUAAUCUACACCCAUUUACAAGUUAAUCUAACCACAUUGUCAAUAGAGAGAUUGACCGUUCUUUCAGUCCCGAGCUUCUUUUCGUGCACGUAUAUUUAAGGUGGGAUACGAAAAGGGCACGAGGCCAAAGAAAAGGACAUCAAGAAGAAUGGCUUGGAAUGGCUCAUCCUUUUCUUUCUCAUUCUCCGUGUUUUAAGUCGUUCCAGAUGGUUGAGGUCGAGAUUCGUUCGUGGCAACCACCUACAGGGUAUGGACCUCCUCCUGAGCCGAAACAAAUGUUCUUCGCGGCAUUUCUUACCGAAAAGCAAAUUCGAAUGUUUAAAUUCGUACGUAUUCUAUAACAAGGAAGAAACGUGGGUGAUGAUUGUUGAUAAGUAUAUAGAGAUGCUAUUGUAUUCGAUUAUAACGCAAAGCUCGAAUUGGAAAAAUCAAAAUCGUAAAAAAUGUCAAAAAUGAAUUAUGAACUCGAUAUGCGACAUGACACGAUUAUGAAUUUUAUGUAUACAAAUAUUUCUUUUGCAUCGUUAUGAUGAAAAGAUAUUUGAUAAAUAAAGAAUCGCAUUCUUCUAAAACGAAAAGUGGUGCAAGUUCGUCCCUUAAGUGGUAACAUUUAACUCAAGAGCGAGAACACUCGAAGGAUUUCUAAGUGGUAUGAACGAAAUCGAAUAUUUAGACUCGUCAUGACAUGUAUACUCGUAUGUUUCCUAUUUUAUUACCAGCUACAUUAAUUGUGACGGCUUUCAAGACGUUUCGAUUAUUUUUUCACUACGACUUUUCUGGUAAUCUUACUUACGGAAUCAUCUUGUUCCUUUUUAAACGAAACUCUUAACACAUUUUCUUCGAAACUUGUAUCUUUAAAUGAAUAUUUUUCAUUCUCGGUUAUAAUCCACAAUUGCAACUUUUUCAGAAAAUUAAAAAAAAUAUUGAUAACGAUUGCAUUAUAUUAUAGAUAAAAGACGAUGGAAAUCAUUUCAAUCAUAUAAAUAAAGAUUCAUCUCUUUUCUCUUAGUAAAUCAAGUUAUUUGG